rnacentral:rRNA from 1 species
UAGUCCACGCCGUAAACGAUGGUCACUAGCUGUUCGAACUUCGGUUUGAGUGGCUAAGCGAAAGUGAUAAGUGACCCACCUGGGGAGUACGUUCGCAAGAAUGAAACUCAAAGGAAUUGACGGGGCCCGCACAAGCGGUGGAGCAUGUGGUUUAAUUCGAUGAUACGCGAGGAACCUUACCAGGGCUUAAAUGUAAAUUGACAGGUUUAGAGAUAGACUUUUCUUCGGACAAUUUACAAGGUGCUGCAUGGUUGUCGUCAGCUCGUGCCGUGAGGUGUCAGGUUAAGUCCUAUAACGAGCGCAACCCCUGUUGUUAGUUGCCAGCGAUUCAAGUCGGGAACUCUAGCAAGACUGCCAGUGCAAACUGUGAGGAAGGUGGGGAUGACGUCAAAUCAUCACGGCCCUUACGUCCUGGGGCUACACACGUGCUACAAUGGUAGUUACAAAGGGGAAACGAUAGAGCGAUCUGGAGUAAAUCUCAAAAAAGCUAAUCUUAGUUCGGGAUU